UGGGGAAUCUUCCACAAUGGACGCAAGUCUGAUGGAGCAACGCCGCGUGAGUGAAGAAGGUCUUCGGAUCGUAAAACUCUGUUGUAAGAGAAGAACGUGUGUGAGAGUGGAAAGUUCACACAGUGACGGUAACUUACCAGAAAGGGACGGCUAACUACGUGCCAG
rnacentral:rRNA from 1 species